GAUCGUGUGGUGUAAUGGUAACAUCCGGAUUCUCAUUAUCAUCCCGGGAUAGCUGGUUCGAUUCCAGUCGCGACCA